rnacentral:sRNA from 1 species
GCCAGGCGUGGUGGUGCAUGCCUGUAAUCCUAGUGGCUUGAGAGGCUGAGGCAGGAGGAUCGAGAGUUCAAAGCCAGCCUCAGCAACUUAGCAAGGCCCUGAGAAACUCAGUGAGAUCUUGUUUCUA